UUAGGCAUGCUUGAUAGGCAAAUCCGUCGAGCUAAGCUGAGGUGUGAUGGGGAGCCAUUUAUGGCGAAGUAUCUGAUUCCACACUGCCAAGAAAAGCCUCUAUCGAGUGAAUAGGUGCCCGUACCGCAAACCGACACAGGUAGGUGAGGAGAGAAUCCUAAGGCCAUCGGAAGAAUUGCUGUUAAGGAACUCGGCAAAUUGACCCCGUAACUUCGGGAGAAGGGGUGCCUACGAA
rnacentral:rRNA from 1 species